GAUCGAGAACGACAGCGAGUUGUCAUGUUCACAAGGAUGACCUAACUUGAGCUUCUGUGGUUUGGGAUCCUGCCUGCCUGUGUUUCACCCUGUUUUGCCUCCAAGGCAGAAGCCUGAGUCUCUAGCCAGGAGAUUGUGCACUGGAGUUUGUCCUUCGUGUGAAAUCCUCCUAGGAGAAACCUCAGCUUCACCCACAGAUCCAAGGCUCCCGGCUGCUCUCUAUUACUCCUACAAUUCACAGUCCUGUUCCAGGACCAGGCGAAUUCAGAAAACCCCACUGCAAGUCAUCAUCUUAGAUUUUGCUACCUAAAUCACUUUCCUUUCUCAAAAAGAAUAAACCUGAGCCCCUUUCCUCCCUUAUGUAGUUCCAUCUUCACAUGGUAUCCUAUUC